AUUAGUUUGAUCCUGGCUCAGAUUGAACGCUGGCGGCAUGCUUUACACAUGCAAGUCGAACGGCAGCGGGGGCUUCGGCCUGCCGGCGAGUGGCGAACGGGUGAGUAAUACAUCGGAACGUGUCCUUAAGUGGGGAAUAACGCAUCGAAAGAUGUGCUAAUACCGCAUAUCUCUCAGGAGGAAAGCAGGGGAUCGAAAGACCUUGCGCUAAAGGAGCGGCUGAUGUCUGAUUAGCUAGUUGGUGGGGUAAAGGCUUACCAAGGCAACGAUCAGUAGCUGGUCUGAGAGGACGACCAGCCACACUGGGACUGAGACACGGCCCAGACUCCUACGGGAGGCAGCAGUGGGGAAUUUUGGACAAUGGGCGAAAGCCUGAUCCAGCCAUGCCGCGUGAGUGAAGAAGGCCUUCGGGUUGUAAAGCUCUUUUAGUCGGAAAGAAAGAGUCAUAGUAAAUAGCUAUGAUUUAUGACGGUACCGACAGAAAAAGCACCGGCUAACUACGUGCCAGCAGCCGCGGUAAUACGUAGGGUGCGAGCGUUAAUCGGAAUUACUGGGCGUAAAGGGUGCGCAGGCGGCCUUGUAAGUCAGAUGUGAAAGCCCCGGGCUUAACCUGGGAAUUGCGUUUGAAACUACAAAGCUAGAGUGCAGCAGAGGGGAGUGGAAUUCCAUGUGUAGCAGUGAAAUGCGUAGAGAUGUGGAAGAACACCGAUGGCGAAGGCAGCUCCCUGGG
rnacentral:rRNA from 1 species